rnacentral:rRNA from 1 species
GGAGUGGCCGAUGCCUGAUUAGCUAGUUGGUGGGGUAAUGGCCUACCAAGGCGACGAUCAGUAGUUGGUCUGAGAGGACGACCAGCCACACUGGGACUGAGACACGGCCCAGACUCCUACGGGAGGCAGCAGUGGGGAAUUUUGGACAAUGGGCGAAAGCCUGAUCCAGCAAUGCCGCGUGAGUGAAGAAGGCCUUCGGGUUGUAAAGCUCUUUCAGUCGAGAAGAAAAGGUUGUGACUAAUAAUCGCAAUUCAUGACGGUAUCGACAGAAGAAGCACCGGCUAACUACGUGCCAGCAGCCGCGGUAAUACGUAGGGUGCGAGCGUUAAUCGGAAUUACUGGGCGUAAAGGGUGCGCAGGCGGCUUUGUAAGUCAGAUGUGAAAUCCCCGGG